ACGUAGGUGGCAAGCGUUAUCCGGAAUUAUUGGGCGUAAAGGGUGCGUAGGCGGUUUAUUAAGUCUAUGGUGAAAGUUCGGGGCUCAACUCCGUAUGGCCAUAGAAACUGGUAGACUUGAGUGCAGGAGAGGGCAGUGGAAUUCCAAGUGUAGCGGUGAAAUGCGUAGAUAUUGGGAGGAACACCAGUGGCGAAGGCGGCUUUCUGGACUGUGUCUGACACUGAGGCGCGAAAGCGAGGGGAGCAAACGG
rnacentral:rRNA from 1 species